CAACACUAUAACAACUUAUAUAUGAACAUUUAGCGAUAACAACAGUUACUGUUGAACAAUCGUACUGUAUUGUUGUAUUUAUGUAGAUGUGUUUGUGAAGGAAAAUAAUUGAAACUGAAUUGACAUCCGACAAGUGCGAAAUAUUAUACGAAUGAAAAUAUCUAUUCUCUACAAUCAUACGUUACCAAAUCACAGGUAAAUUUACAUUCAUUUACAAAUAUUUUUUUUUUAAUAAAUGUAAUGGUCUUCAAAAAUAGAUUUAAUAUUAAAAACAUAAUAUAAUAGGUAGGUGGUAUGUAUAGCUAUAUUUAUGUAUCUAUACUUAAAUACUCAAAAUUAUUUUUAUUCCAUAAAAAAUCCCUGUUAAUAUUACUUCUAUUAACAAUAAUUAUAAAAAUACUUUUUACCCAGGUAGAUAGAUAGGUAAGUUUAUAUUUAUUAUGACUAAAUAAUAUUUGAAUUUUUUUUAAAACAAAAUAAUUUAGUAUUGUGCAUACCUACUAAAUUAAUUUUAAAUAUUUUUUUCUAUUACCUAUUUAUUUAAAAAAAGAUUUUUAAUGUUCUUAAAUUACAUAUAGGUACAUAUCUUAGGUGAAUUUUAAAUUAAAACUAAUUUAGUUAUAGAAAUAUAAGUAAAUUAAUUUUAAUAUUAGAAAUUAAAUCCCCUAGUAUUAUUUAAUGCUAUUUUUACAGAUUAUUGAGCGUUUUUUAUUACAUAUUUUAUUGUAGUAACAUGAGUACAUCAAACUCCUACAUUGUAUACACCUACCUACACAUAAUAAAGACACUUUAAUAAGUAUUAUUAGGUAGGUAUAAUAGGUAUCAAUUAAUAAUUAUUAGACAUACACAUUUGAUAUUAAAUGUUUUAUAAGUCAUUUUUUUUUAUUAAAUACCAAUUCAUUUUUGUUCAGAAUAACAUUUUAAAUUCAGAUUAAUUAUAAGAUUAUAUUCUUGCCUAAAGUUCAUGUAUGUUUCCAACAAAUUAUAUUAGCAAUAAUUUGCUUUGUAAACUGUUAUAAAAUACAAAUUUCAGUUACUCCUCUAAUAUCAAUAUCUUAAGUUAUUAGUGAACUUAAUUAUUUACCCAUUGUUAGUAAAAAGUCAAACUCUCUGAUCAAAUUACAUUUUAAUAAUUUUAGUAGUUAAUAUUUGUCUUUUAUUAUAAAAAUGACAAUAGUGCUUCUAAUAUACUAAGUCUAUGUCAACAGUGCUCUUGUAACCAUAAUAUAAAGCUAACAUUUAUCACCUUUAUUUAACAAAUUGUUUUAGUUAAUUUAUACUUUAUUGCAUUUUUUAGUAUUCAUCUCAAUAGUAUUCAAUUUAAUUAACACAAUAGAAAAAAAAUUCAUGUAUGCUAGGUGUGUACAAAUUUUAAAUUACUUCUAUUAAUAGAUACUAAUUAAAAAUAUGUUUAUUAUAUCCAUGAUCUUAUAAUGUUAUUUAUUUAAACAUAAUAUUCAUAAACAUAUAAUAUUGUAAGUACUAAAUAGAAAAUAAUAUAUUAAUACCAAUGCAUUAAAAAUACAUACCUAAUGUUAACAUAGUACCUAAUUACUUACCACUAAAUUUGAUUAUUUUAAAUGAUUAAGGUACAUCUAGGAUUCAAGUAUUUUUUUUUUUCAUUUAUUCAAGUUCAAUAAUUUUAUAUUCUGGUUAUCUGAGCCAGAAAGCUGGAUAAGAUUUAAAAUUAAAAAUUCUAAAAAUAUUUCAUACAUGUUUUAAUAUAAAUAAUAAAGGUACCCACUGUAAAUUGGUCAUUUUUAAAUAAUUCUUUGUUGAAUGUUUUGAAAGUAAUUCAUAACUGAAUGUAUUCAAACAGGUGUCAAAAGUAUGUAUAAUGUUUAUACUGAAGAUUUAUGAUUGUUUAAUUUACUUAAAAGAAACCAUCCUAUCUUACCACUACUGUCCCUUACCAACCGUUAUAAUUUUAAAAUAAAUACAAUUUUAUUUUGGCUUAUAUUAUUGGCUUAAUAAAUAUUAGCUACCUUGAACUUAGUAAUUUAUACUGACAUAAAAUGUUUAUUUAUUCUGAAAAAAUGUUGAUGAACCAUAUUUUUAUUUUUAAUAACUAUCUUUAUUAGCCAACCUUGUUGUAUUAACCUGUGAUCAAACAUUGCCGUUUUUAAAUGACUAUAUUACAAUGUAUUAUUUUUAACUUACAUAAAAACUAUAGAUUGGUGAAAAUUAAAAAUAAUAAGCACAAUACAAAACAUGUAUUAAAUAUUAACAAACAAUUUUCUUGGUAUUAUGGUUUAAUCAGCUUUUUAACAAUCAAAUGUAUGAUUGUUUUAAAAUUUAGUCCAAAAUUUAAAUAAUUGAUACAUAUUUAUAUUAAGCCGUUGGAUAUAUAGUAUGUAAAAUAUAAUAUGAACAAAAUAAUACAUUUUUGAGAUUACAACUAAACAGAUGUGCAAUUAACUGUCAUAAAAAACAUGUCUAGCAUAUUUGCAUUGCAAAAUGAAUUAUUAACUGAUAAAUAAAGUACCUAGAUAAUAGCUGGAGAGUGACGUGCAUAAAAAAAAAGGAUACAAAAUCCUUUUAAUGAAGAAUAUAAAAUAUAAUUCUAUUACGAGAUGAUACUAAUAUAAGUUUGAGUUGCAAACAAAAUUUUUAGUACUUGUUUGAUUUAAAGAGAGAUCAAUAUGAUUUUACCUAUUUAUAACUCUUGCCUAUCAAAAUGCCAAUGUUUUAAAUACAAAUAUUCAACUAAUAUUUUUAUUUAUUUUUUUUAAACCAACAAAUUAUUUUACGGUUAAAUAGUGUACAAGUGAUUUGUAUUUUUUUUUUUUUUAAAAGCAGUUUUAUAAAAAUAGUGAUACCAAUAAAACCAGAGGCUAAUUGCUGUACAAAUAUUAGGUAACCAUGGACAGUCCUAUAGGAAACUUGGUAAUCAUUGGCAAAGUCCACAGGAUUCUGAAAUCUGAUGUAAAAUAUUAAUCAGUGAUUUACCCUCUGGAUAAAACCAAUUAUAAUCAUAAAUAUUGUAAUUUGCCAACCCUUAGUAAUUAAUCAGCUGAAAUUCAAAUAAUAAAUAAAUAAUCUUUUAUUUUGAGUAAAAUUAGAAGAAAAAAAAGUACAAUAGUAUUUGUAUGAUACAUUAGUUGCAUCUCAAUAUAAUUGAGAAUUUUUAAAUUUUUAAGUUGUUACACUAAAUAUAAUUAUUUAAUUGAUAAAUAAAUGGACACGUUUCAUACUUGAAAAAAGAAAAUAUAAAGCUUAAAAAAAUUAGGAUAGUGAGAAUUUGGAUAAGCAGAAUACAUAGAAUAAUUUAAUUAUGUAAAAUCAUUGCUAACAAAAAAGAGCUGAUACUGGGGACUUGUGCAGUCACUGUUGUAAGUGGGAAGGUAAUUUAUAUCUGUAAACAAUGUUAACUCAUUACUAAAAAAAAAAAAACGAUUUUGAACAAAAAAUUCUGUAAUUUUUACGAUUUUUUUUCACAGAGUUACAAAAAUCAAAUUUAUACAAACUGUUAUUACAUAAAUAUUCCUGUCCUUUCAAAUCCAUUAACUAAACCAAAUUUGUUACCAUAAACCUCCUCUGGAGCAGUAGUGGAUCCAGACUAUAGGCUAUACAAAAGUUUUUACUUCCCCAAAUAAUUAACUGUGUAACACAUAUAUUAUUAUACAGGAUUUUCAAGGAAAAAAUGCAGAGUGAUGAAUGUGUUGAUUGUACUAUGAUGUAUUUUGAUUGUUCAAUUUUUUUUUUCUGUCAGAACAUAUUUUCCACUGUACCAAAAAUCUUACUCCAAUCAAAAGAAGAAGUUAGUAAUGGUUUAUCGGUGCUUGCAGUUGUAUAUUAAAUAAACCUGUGUCCUACUUUCAACCUACAAAAUAUUUUUUGCUUAGUAAUAAUUUUUAGGAAGCCUCCCUUCAAAAUCCAACCCUAAAUCUGCUGCCAAUGCUCAGGUAUAAUAACAACAUUGCAAGUCUUGGUUUAAAAAACACUGGGUACUUAUUUUUAAAAUUAAAUCUCCCUACAAAUAAAUAUCUUGUCCAUUUACUAUUUUUGGGAAUUGCGUACCUAACUGGCAAAACUUUAUUGAAGGUCAUAUUUAUAUGCUAAUUUUAAUAAGUGUAUUUUCUAAUUUGUAAAAUAAUUAUUAAUCUAAGAUAGCCAAUUUGUAUGUCUGUUUUGUAUAAAAAUGUUAAAACCUUAUUAGUUAGUAGUAGAAUAAUUUUUAAAUAAACUGAAUUUACGAUUUAAUGAAACUUUUAAGAAAAAUUCAAAACAAUUUAUAGAGAGAACUGAAUGUAGUAUAUAGGCUAUCUUAUACUAUCAAUGUCUGGACCAAUUACUAUGUCUGACUUUUCCCCAUAUAAUACAUUUUAUCUUCAUAUAUGCCAAAUCCGAAAGAAAUUAUCUGUUCUGCAGUAUAAAUGUAAUGUAAAUAAAAUUAUAAUAAAUUCUAAAUGAUGCGUGUACAUUUUUAUUUUAACAUUUACAGAAAAUUAACCAAUUAAUUGCUCACAAAAAAAAAAAAAAAUAUGAAUAAUAUAAUAUUAUAACAUUAUCUAGUCUUUAUAAAAGCAUACACAUACACAUUUUCCAAGGAGCGGUACACACUUUGCAACACAAAUUUGCCUGUGGACGUCCAUUAAAAGAACAAAAGAGGGAAAUGAAUGUCUCUUUAGAAUAUAUUUAAACAAAGGUAAAAUUGUUUUUUUAAGCUUUGAUAUAAAGCCUGAAUAAUAAUUGAUUCACCCGCUCAUAAUAGACCUAUCAUAACUAUAGCUUAACUUAAUAUUUUAUUCAAUUCUUGUAUUCUCAUAUCCAUAUAUCUAUCUGUAUAAUAGUCUUUGAAUGCAUGUUUGGAAAUCAAGUUCCAAUCUGUCUCUACAGUGGAAAUUAGAUUAUGGUUGCCCAAGAGUAGGAUACUGUUGUAGGUCAAAAGUUGGAAGACAGGAUAAAUUGACUAAUUGAAGUUUAUAUUUCUAAGCAGCGAUAAAUCAUUACAAAUAAAAAAUUAAUUUGGUUACAUUUUUUGAUCAAUUUUAAUUUAAAACUGUUUUAUUAAUUUGUAACUAAAAAGUAAAUUAAAACACUUAUAAAAAUACAUUUUAACUUUUUUAUUCUCCUAAAAUAAAAAUUUCAAAUUGCUAUUAAUAAUAAUUCAUAAAACAGCUGAAUACUCUGCAAAGUGUUAAUAUAAAUGUAUGUACCAGAUAUACUUAGAUAGUGAACAUUUGAGGUUUUUCUUUGAUGAUUUCACUGAAUUACUAAAAAAAUAUUUUAGUUAAUUAAUUUAAUAAAAAGUUAUUGUGUAAAUACUCCCAUUAGAAAUUACCUUUGAUGUUGAUGGUUGGUACAAAAUGUCUAGCAGUAGUGUGGUUGUUCACUGACCAAAUAAAAAAAAAGAACAUCAAAGUAAAAUCAUUACUUUCAGAAAUUUAUUCUAAUAUUUAUUUUUAAAUUCUAUAUUUAAGCCUCAAAAUGGGGAGAGGAUUCUAAACAGAUUAUCGUAAUUUCUAUAUCUGUUUAUUUUUAACUUGUGUAACUAUUUAUAUUGAAUUUUUUGUGUUAAUUGUUUAAUCUUAAACAAUAAUUGUUUUUUUAUUACUAAAUAUAAUAAUAAAUGUGAUUUACACCGAUUCAAACUAAAUGUGCAUUUCAAUAUUUUAUAAUUUUUAAUUUUUUUUAUAGGUACCUCAACAUUUACUCUAAAAAAAAAAUGAAAAUUUUAAAGUCUUCACGAAAAAUGGAUGUUCAUGGAAUGAAGGAUACAUGAAGAUAAGUGGCCAAAAAUGGAAUCUUAAAAUUUAAAAGUAUGCUCAUUAAAUUCAAAAACAAAACCAAAAAUUGCAAAGACAAAAAGUAAUAUAAAGUAAAAUUUUCUGUCUGUAGCAUUUUAUGUUAAUUAAAAACAUUUGAAUAACAAUUUGAAUUGGUAAGAGUUGAAAAAAAAACUUGAGUAACAAACAAAUAAGUAUGUAAUACAAUGAAUUUAAUUGUCAUUAAGUACAAAAAUACAGAAAAAAUAUUUAUCUUAAAUAAUAAUAAAGCACCCAGACUGCUGUAUUCAACAACCAUUCCGUUUUAACGUGUUUGGUAGCUCUAAUUGUUUAUAUUAUUCUUAAUUCACUUAUUUCAGCACCCUAGUUAUCAAGUUUAUCUAAUUAUAGAAAUAAGUAUUUUCGAUGUUAGGUCGCCAUACAUAUUCAUUAUAAGACCUACUACCAACAAACAAUGUGGUUUGGCCAUAAAUAAAUCAACAAAAUAAGCAAAACAUUUUGGCAAUUUGAUCUUUUGUUUGCUUCACAAAAACACCCUUAAUAUAAUAAUUAAUUUUCAAUAGUUUGUAUCUUAUAAUAAAUUAAUAAAAUUAAAUAAUAUAGAAUACUACUCUAAAAUAAAUGCUGUUAUGAGAGAGAAGUUAGGAAUUUAAAAUAUAGCAGUAUAGUUAAUAUACUGUUUAUGCAUCUCCCGACUAAGGUUCAACUACCAAAGAAAACUUGGUGGGCUGUUUGUGAGUUGACAAAAUUUCAAAAAAUAUAAAUAGUAAAUGGUUUUUUGAAUGUUAAAAAUUACUGCAAAAUUGUUUGAGUAAUGAGUAUAGUGGUGAAGAGUGGGCUUUUAGACAUGUAAAUUUAUAUGGGCAAUCUUACCCCAAUCUGUGUAGAUCAAUAGAUCAUUGAAAAUAAUUCUGAGGGUUAUCCUGUUAAAUUUGUAUUAAUACAAUUAAAUUGAAGUAGUAUUAAUUAAUAUUAAAAAAAAAAAAAAAUACAAUUUUUGUAUUCAUAUUUCAAAAUUCUCCAAAAAAUCCUUUUAGAGAAUUUAGUUAAAAUCAUCAGUGCACUUGUGUUUAAUAUUGCAAAUGUCUGUGUGCCUUAAAUUUAUAUAUACACACUUUUUUUAUAAUACACAUAUAUAUAAUUAUUAUAUUUAAUUUAUAAUAAAAAUUGGAAAUAUCUGAACAUAUAUUAAGUGUGUUACUACAGUUUAUAACAAAAAUUAAUAUUUCAAUCAGAAUUUAACUCAAUAAAAAUAUGAUUAGUUGUGUAUAUUUAAAAUUUAAAAUUUUAACUAAUUUACAAGUAUGUUAUAUUUAAUGUAUUGAAAAAAAAAAAUGAUAUUUUAUAUUUUGAUUUAUUGAAAUAGUUAUAAUUACAAUAUUUGUAUAGCUUAAAUAAAAUACUUAAAUACAAUAUAACUCUAACUUCUCUACAUUUACCCGAAAAUAUUAAUAUUUUAUUCUUAAAUAAUUAAAAUAGGCUGUGGACUAUAUUAAAUAUAUUAUCAUCUUGAAAAAAAAAUGUAUAUAGCUAUUAUAUUAUACUUUCAUGACAAUUUAAUCACUUUACAGUAAAAUUAAUUUUUGAAAUAUUUUAUUAGUCUUACAAAAACUAUAAUUAUUUUCCCUACUUUAAUAUAUAACUGAGAAAAGAAAAUAAUAUUUUUUUAAAAUUGUGUUUUUAUUAUACUUAUUAAUAUUUUUUCACCUUAACGAUGUAGAAUUAUUAGGUACCUAUUAUAUUAUAAAAUAAUAUAAUAUUUGUUUAUGAACUACUUAACAAGUUGACUACCGCAUUAUUUUAAAUAGCUUGAUAUUAUACUGAAAAUGAUACUCAAAAAUUACAAAAUAGUGCCUCAAAGCUUAAGAAUCAAAUUGUGUACCAGCAAUCAUACUCAAAAUAUGUAAAAUGAAAGAAUUAAAAAUAUAUACUAUGACUAGGGUAUAAACUAUGUGAGUACCAAAUAUGGUACUCACUGUAGUCAUUAGUGCAAUAGUUCAUAAACAAUUAAUUAAUUUGAUACAAAUAUAUAUGACCUGGGUUUAAGACUUAUAGCAUAAUAUACUUAUUCCUUUGACUUGGUAUUAAAUCUAGAUAGUUUAUACAAAUGUGUGUAUUAUAUAAAUAAUUCAAAUAUGAAUUUUGUAAAUAUUCUUUUUCCUCUUUUUAUACUUUAUAAUUACAUAAGCCAUUGACAUACCCUGUCCCCCAUGAUUUUUAAAUAGUUUUACCUUUGUAAUCCAUUACCCACUUUGUAUAUUUUUUUUCUACUUUUCACAUGGUACAAUACGAAUCCAUGAAUGUAGUUCUAAAGAGAUACAAAAGUUCAAAUAUGAAAAUUAAAAAUUCUUUUUUGUUGUUACUAGAUUCUGUUGGUUUUUUAAAAAUAUUUCUAAGUAUUUUUAAGUACUUUUUUUAUUAUUAAUUAUCAAGUGCUAUAUGUCCCAAUCCUUGAUUAUAUCUAUAAAACUAAAAGUUUAAUAUUAUUUAUGUUAAAUUAAAUUAAACAAAAGAGCAUAUUUUUAAUACCCAUGUAUUUAGUAUUUACAAUAAUAAUAAUAGCUAAUAUUAGCGUAUAAUGUAUUUUAUUGUUUUUAGAGCAAUACAACGAAGGCAGACAAGAGUACAAGUUUAGAAAACACUUCGUUUGGGUUAAAUUUUUACUCAACUUGUAAAAAUAAAUGAAAACCUUCAGAAAAUAUUUUAGUUAUACUACCAUUAUAUUUUAAAUAAAUUAUAAUACAAUUACUAAUUCUACAAUAUAAUUUUAUGAUUAUUUAAAAAUAAUAAUUAAUCAAUGUGUAUUUCAUUAAAAUAAUUAUAAGUUGGUAUUCAACAAAUUGUAAAAUGUUCUAUUGCUAAGAGUUACAAAAUUAAAAAAGAAUUUACAAUUACAAAAUUUGGAUUAUAGAAAAUUAUACAAAAUAGUACGACUGAAUAAUAGUAAAAAUAUUUUUACAGUGUUAGUUUUUAUUAUGUAUUAAUCAAUCUACUUAAAAUAUAAUUUCAUAUGUUUAAGUAAAAUAAAUUUAACUUGAUUAAAAUAUAUCACACUUAAAUGUAUA